rnacentral:lncRNA from 10 species
UUAUAGCCCAUGCCUGCUGAUUUUCUGUGCUGGCUUUAUUCAUUAAGUGAUCUCAGGGCUGAGGAUGUCAGACUGGCCAAUUUCAUCAGCCAUGAGAGCCAAAGACUCAGAGGAUACACACACUCGUGUACAAAAGCCUCUGCCAGCCAGCAAAGCCUGUUUGUUUUGUCAUGACAACCCUUGUCACUUCCAUCUGGAGGGUCACAAGUAUUCAUCUACCUUGAGUCAAAAUCGGUUGAUGGAUCUCCGUUUUUGUUGUUUGUUUCCUUUGUUUUGUUUUGUUUUUGAGACGGAGUCUCACUCUGGAGUGCAGUGGUGUGAUCUUGGCUCUCUGAAACCUCCGACUCCCUGGUUCAAGCGAUUCUCCUGCCUCAGCCUCCUGAGUAGCUGGGAUUACAGGCAUGUGCCACCAUGCCCAGCUAAUUUUUGUAUUUUCAGUAGAGACGGGGUUUCACCAUGUUGACCAGGAUGGCCUCGAUCUCCUGACCUUGUGAUCCGCCCGCAUCGGUUUCCCCAAGUGUUGGGAUUACAGGCGUGAGCCACUGCACCUGACCGAUGAAUCUCCUUUUAAAGGCCUCCAUGAGCUGAAAGCUAUGGGGAAACAACAAAAGGUUUUGAGCAGGGUCCAUGCAUUAGAUGGUAAGAGUUAGAUCAGACUGUGUGUGGUGACUCAUGCCUGUAAUCCCAGCACUUUGGGAGACAGAGGCAGGAGGAUUGUUUGAGGCCAGGAGUUCAAGGCUGCAGUGAGCUGAUUGCAGCACUGCACUCCAGCCUGAGCAACAGAGCGAGACACCGUCUCAAAAUAUAUUUCAUAAGAAGUGGCUAGCAGCUGGAUGCAGUGGCUCAUGUCUGUAAUCCCAGCAGUUUGGGUGGCCAACGUGGGUGAAUUGCUUGAGUUCAGAAGUUUGAGAACAACUUGGGCAACAUGGUGAAACUUCAUCUCUACAAAAAUUACAAAAAAUUAGGUGUGUGUGGUGGAGCAAAGCCCGUAGUCCCAGCUACCCAUGAGGCUGAGGUGGGAGGAUCACCUGAGCCCAGGAGGUCAAGGCUGCAGUGAGCUGUGAUUAUGCACUGCACUCCAGUCUGGGUGACAGAGUGAGACCCAACAUAUGAGUAUGUAUUUGUUCAGGCUUCCAGAUGUCUCUGUCCCAUAUUUCUGAUAUUCUCCCAUUGAUAUAGAGAAAGAUAGGUGGCAGAAGGGAGAUAACAGGAAAACUAUAAUCAGGAAAACUUCCAGGUAGAACUGGGAGUUUGGGGGUGGAUCUUUCUCAUGUCUUGAGGAUUUGAGUGGGGAUCACUCAUGCAUGAUCCUAUAACAGGAAAACUCAGGAAUUAGGCAGAGGAAAGCUCAAAGUCUAAGUGACACUGUUGCUUUCCUUACAUGAUGGCCUGUGUGGCGUUUGAAUUGAGUGAGCCUUCAAAGCAAGAAGGCAACUGAGGCUGAGUAUUUAUCUAUCAUCUAUCUAUCACCUAUCUAUCUAAUCUAUCAUCUAUCUAUCUAAUCUAUCAUCUAUCAUCUAUCUAAUCUAUCAUCUGUCUAAUCUAUCUAAUCUAUCAUCUAUCUGUGUAUCUAUGUAUCUAUGUAUCUAUGUAUCUAUCUAUCUAUCUAUCUAUCUAUCUAUCUAUCUAUCUAUGUCUAUCUAGCUAUCAUCAACACAGGGUCUUAUUAUGUUUUCCAGGCUGGUUUUGAACUGCUAAGCUCAAGAAACCCACCUGCCUUGGCCUCCCAAAGUGCUGGGAUUACAGGCUUGAGCCACUGCUCCUGGAUGAGGCUGUUUUUUGUUUGUUUGUUUUUUUGUUUGUUUGAGACAGAGUCUCAC